AUCGCUUCUCGGCUAUUUUAGCUGUGAUCAAGUGUAGUACCUGUUCUUCUCAGGGUGAAAUCUGAGACGGAAACGAUUCGUUUCCUCUAUAUUUCAUUCGGAUUUUUGAACACAGAGCACGGUAAUGAAGCUUGCUUCUACUGCUCCGG
rfam:Ciona intestinalis ciona2121, whole genome shotgun sequence.